rnacentral:tRNA from 1 species
GCGAGAGUGGCGAAACUGGCAGACGCACCAGACUUAGGAUCUGGCGCCGCAAGGCUUGGGGGUUCGAGUCCCCCCUCUCGCA